UACGAAGGGGGCUAGCGUUGCUCGGAAUCACUGGGCGUAAAGGGUGCGUAGGCGGGUCUUUAAGUCGGGGGUGAAAUCCUGGAGCUCAACUCCAGAACUGCCUUUGAUACUGAGGAUCUUGAGUUCGGGAGAGGUGAGUGGAACUGCGAGUGUAGAGGUGAAAUUCGUAGAUAUUCGCAAGAACACCAGUGGCGAAGGCGGCUCACUGGCCCGAUACUGACGCUGAUGCACGAAAGCGUGGGGAGCAAACAGG
rnacentral:rRNA from 1 species